rnacentral:rRNA from 1 species
UACGUAGGUCCCGAGCGUUGUCCGGAUUUAUUGGGCGUAAAGCGAGCGCAGGUGGUUUAUUAAGUCUGGUGUAAAAGGCAGUGGCUCAACCAUUGUAUGCAUUGGAAACUGGUAGACUUGAGUGCAGGAGAGGAGAGUGGAAUUCCAUGUGUAGCGGUGAAAUGCGUAGAUAUAUGGAGGAACACCGGUGGCGAAGGCGACUUUCUGGACUGUAACUGACGUUGAGGCACGAGAGUGUGGGGAGCAAACAGG